rnacentral:rRNA from 1 species
GACGAACGCUGGCGGCGUGCCUAAUACAUGCAAGUUGAGCGCUGAAGGUUGGUACUUGUACCGACUGGAUGAGCAGCGAACGGGUGAGUAACGCGUGGGGAAUCUGCCUUUGAGCGGGGGACAACAUUUGGAAACGAAUGCUAAUACCGCAUAAAAACUUUAAACACAAGUUUUAAGUUUGAAAGAUGCAAUUGCAUCACUCAAAGAUGAUCCCGCGUUGUAUUAGCUAGUUGGUGAGGUAAAGGCUCACCAAGGCGAUGAUACAUAGCCGACCUGAGAGGGUGAUCGGCCACAUUGGGACUGAGACACGGCCCAAACUCCUACGGGAGGCAGCAGUAGGGAAUCUUCGGCAAUGGACGAAAGUCUGACCGAGCAACGCCGCGUGAGUGAAGAAGGGUUUCGGAUCGUAAAACUCUGUUGGCAGAGAAGAACGUUGGUGAGAGUGGAAAGCUCAUCAAGUGACGGUAACUACCCAGAAAGGGACGGCUAACUACGUG